rnacentral:rRNA from 1 species
CCUACGGGAGGCAGCAGUGGGGAAUUUUGCGCAAUGGGGGAAACCCUGACGCAGCAACGCCGCGUGGAGGAUGAAGUCCCUUGGGACGUAAACUCCUUUCGACCGGGAAGAUACUGACGGUACCGGAUGAAGAAGCACCGGCUAACUCUGUGCCAGCAGCCGCGGUAAU